CCCGGCUUUGCUGUCCCCACAGAGAAGAAGCUGGAGGAGUUCUCCGUGGAAGAGGCCGAGGUGCUACAGAUCCUCACACAGGUCAACGUGGUGCGAAGAGAGUGUGAGAUCAAACUGGAGGCGGCCCACUUUGACGAAAAGAAGGAGAUCAACAAACGGAAGCAGCUGAUCCUGGAGGGGAAGGACCCUGACCUGGAGGCCAAGCGCAAGGCUGAGCUGGCCAAGAUCAAGCAGAAGAACCGGCGCUUCAAGGAGAAGGUGGAGGAGACGCUGAAGCGACAGAAGGCUGGCAGGGCUGGCCACAAGGGGCGUCCACCCAGGACCCCGUCUGGGUCCCACUCAGGCCCAGUCCCCUCCCAGGGCCUGGUCUGAGCCCCACACGGCCAUCUGCCCAGUCCUCGACUCAUCCAUGGAGCUGAGGGUCGGAGGAACCUUCCUUGGGGGCAGCAGCCCUUCCCGGGGGCCUACCCAGUGCCCCACAGCAGAACCCGUGGGCGCUCGUGUUGUGCGGGCCCUGCUCCUCUGCCCCGAAACCACUGGCUGGCCCCUUCCCUGAGCCCUGGCCAAGAAUCAGGCUGCAGGGGAAGAAAGAAC
rnacentral:sRNA from 1 species